AUUGAACGCUGGCGGCAGGCCUAACACAUGCAAGUCGAACGAUUGGCGGACGGGUGUGUAAUGUCUGGGAAACUGCCUUAUGGAGGGGGAUCACUCCUGGAAACGGUCGCUAAUAACGCAUACCAUAGAGUGUGCACAGAUGGGAUUAGGUAGGAGGUGGGGUAACGGCUCACCUAGGCUACGCUACCUAGCUGGUCUGAGAGGAUGACCAGCCACACUGGAACUGAGACACGGUCCAGACUCCUACGGGAGGCAGCAGUGGGGAAUAUUGCACAAUGGGCGCAAGCCUGAUGCAGCCAUGCCGCGUGGAUGAAGAAGGCCUUCGGGUUGUAAAGUACUUUCAUCGGGGAGGCGUUACCCGCAGAAUAAGCACCGGCUAACUCCGUGCCAGCAGCCGCGGUAAUAC
rnacentral:rRNA from 1 species